ensembl:lncRNA
CAAAUCAAACAGACAACGAAAAAGAGAUCGGUGGUGGCUAGUAGGCCGGUGACGACGACCGCCGAGCACCGCCUGAACAGGCAGGGGAGCCAACUUCGGUGGAAGUCGUGACAGAGCCUAUUUGCAAUGUGUUUACACAGUGGGAAAUGCAGACGUAUUUUCUUGAAACCACUGAUCAUGACCAUUUAGCCCACGGGAUGAAAAUCCUGGACAGCAGCUGUGGGGGCCUUUCCAAAUCAUGUCCAAUCCAUUGAAUUUACCACAGGUGGACUCCAAUCAAGUUGUAGAAACAUCUUGAGGAUGAUCAAUGGAAACAUGAUGCACCUGAGCUCAAUUUUGAAUCUCAUAGCAAAGGAGUAAAGGCUGUAACGUAACAAAAUGUGGACAAAGUCAAGGGGUCUGAAUACUUUCCGAAGGCAGUGUACACACACACACA